CCUGAAUAGCUGGGAUUACAGGCUUGCACCACCAUGCCCGGCCCGUCUACUUCCCCUGUGAGUAGAACUACAAGACACACCUUUUUGGAUUUUGAAGAACAGAGAAGCCUUUUAGGAAUUUUGGGGAACACAGAGCUCACAGGCAGAGGUACUCAGAGAGAGACACAAAGCCACAAUCAUGUAGAAGAAAAAGCCAACCCUGAAAUGGUAAAUUAUUGACAGCUGGGCAUUCGGCGGAGCGCACUGAAAGGAAAGUAGGCACUCUGCUGUAACCACAACAGAUGCAGCCUGUUUCUAAAAUCCAAGGCCAGGAGGCAGGUAUUUUCUGCAAUUAAUAAUAAUGACAUUGAUAUCAGGAAGUAACCAUUCUGGCACAGACUGGAAGGGAACAAGAACAGCCUGGGACACAGAGAUCGCAGAGGCUGGAUAAUGUGAGAAGAAAAUGAGUCCCUACGGGAUGAGACAAAGGCAACUCCUUGUCACAUCUGACUAAGGGGUUUCACCAGUUCCUUAAUGCCGGGAGACUGGAAGUUAAUAUCAGAAGCAGCCUGUUCAUACUUCUUAUUGUUGUUUGUAGGAUUAUGUUCACGCUAACUGCAUAAUGAAGCAUGUGUAACUGUCAUUCUAUGGCGCACAGUCAUUGAUUGGCAACCAAUGUUUCUGUUGUCUUCAUACUGCCCUGAGUUAGGGAGCCUCUUCAGGGGUUCCCGGAGACUGAUCUGUGAAGCAGCUGGAACCUUCUGACUUCUGCAGGCCCCAUUCUGGUUCCUGAACAUUGUCCUAAGGGAAGACAUUCCUAGCAUGAAGUACUCCUGUCUGCGUGUGCUACGUGUGACUCAGCUCUUGUUUUCAGAGUUGAUAGUAGAUCCAGUUUACGGCCUUGAUAUAUUUAUAGGUUCUAUUAUCCUUUUUGGUUUUUCCAGUGCUUUCUUGACGCUCUCACAGAUCUCAGGAGAUGUAACACAGGAGUAGGGAGACAUACACAGUACCAAGAACUGAGUUCCUCCAGUGGCUUUUCUCUGAAUAGAAAGAGAAGGGAAAGAAAACAAGAAGAGAGAAGGCAUAGAAACAUGUUUUUUUGGCCAGGUGCAGUGGCUCA